rnacentral:tRNA from 1 species
GGCUUUAUAGUCAAAUUUAUGAUUUUAGACUGCAAUUCUAGAGUUGGGAAUUUAUUCCCUAAAGCUU